rnacentral:rRNA from 1 species
GACGAACGCUGGCGGCGUGCCUAAUACAUGCAAGUUGAGCGCUGAAGGUUGGUACUUGUACCGACUGGAUGAGCAGCGAACGGGUGAGUAACGCGUGGGGAAUCCGCCUUUGAGCGGGGGACAACAUUUGGAAACGAAUGCUAAUACCGCAUAAAAACUUUAAACACAAGUUUUAAGUUUGAAAGAUGCAAUUGCAUCACUCAAAGAUGAUCCCGCGUUGUAUUAGCUAGUUGGUGAGGUAAAGGCUCACCAAGGCGAUGAUACAUAGCCGACCUGAGAGGGUGAUCGGCCACAUUGGGACUGAGACACGGCCCAAACUCCUACGGGAGGCAGCAGUAGGGAAUCUUCGGCAAUGGACGAAAGUCUGACCGAGCAACGCCGCGUGAGUGAAGAAGGUUUUCGGAUCGUAAAACUCUGUUGGUAGAGAAGAACGUUGGUGAGAGUGGAAAGCUCAUCAAGUGACGGUAACUACCCAGAAAGGGACGGCUAACUACGUG